rnacentral:rRNA from 1 species
CCUACGGUGUGCAGCAGUAGGGAAUUUUCGGCAAUGGGGGGAACCCUGACCGAGCAACGCCGCGUGAACGAAGAAGUUAUUCGUAAUGUAAAGUUCUUUUAACAGGGAAGAAAGAGAAAUUUGACGGUACCUGAAGAAUAAGCUCCGGUUAACUACGUGCCAGACGCCGAGGUACUACGUAGGGAGCGAGCGUUAUCCGGAAUUAUUGGGCGUAAAGGGUGCGUAGAUGGCAUAGUAAGUCUGUUGUAAAAAGGCUGGGCUCAACCCAGUAGGGCAAAAGAUACUGGAAAGCUAGAGUAUGAGAGAGGGAAGUGGAACUACAGGUGUAGCGGUAAAAUGCGUAAAUAUAUGGAAGAACACCAGUGGCGAAGGCGGCUUGCUGGGUCGAUACUGACAUUGAGGCACGAAAGCGUGGGGAGCAAACAGGAUUAGAUACCCCUGUAGUC